rnacentral:rRNA from 1 species
GAUCCUGGCUCAGGAUGAACGCUAGCGACAGGCUAACACAUGCAAGUCGAGGGGCAGCAUAGAAGUAGCAAUACUUGGUGGCGACCGGCGCACGGGUGAGUAACGCGUAUGCAACCUACCUAUCAGAGGGGAAUAACCCGGCGAAAGUCGGACUAAUACCGCAUAAAACAGGGGCACCGCAUGGUGAUAUUUGUUAAAGAAAUUCGCUGAUAGAUGGGCAUGCGUUCCAUUAGGUAGUUGGUGAGGUAACGGCUCACCAAGCCGACGAUGGAUAGGGGAACUGAGAGGUUGGUCCCCCACACUGGUACUGAGACACGGACCAGACUCCUACGGGAGGCAGCAGUGAGGAAUAUUGGUCAAUGGGCGGGAGCCUGAACCAGCCAAGUCGCGUGAAAGGAAGAAGGAUCUAUGGUUCGUAAACUUCUUUUGCAGGGGAAUAAAGUGCAGGACGUGUCCUGUUUUGUAUGUACCCUGAGAAUAAGGAUCGGCUAACUCCGUGCCAGCAGCCGC